ACCUGAAUCACAGCGAACCAGGGAUCAAAUCCCAAAUUAUCUGAUAUAAACCUUCACGAAGAUCUGGAUAUGCAGAUUCUCUACUUCGCAUGCACGUCAGACGCCGCAGAAAAGUAGGAUGAACUCCAAUCCAAUUGACUUUACAACUCAAUUAAUCGAGGGAUGAGAUGUGAUGAUGUGACAUCUCACACCAGUAGUUAGGAUGCCAAAGAAGGAUCCAUGCCCAAGGAGAAGAGGUGGCAACAAAGGGAGAGAUGUAGA
rnacentral:lncRNA from 1 species